AGACCCGAAACCCGGUGAUCUAGCCAUGGGCAGGUUGAAGGUUGGGUAACACUAACUGGAGGACCGAACCGACUAAUGUUGAAAAAUUAGCGGAUGACCUGUGGCUGGGGGUGAAAGGCCAAUCAAACCGGGAGAUAGCUGGUUCUCCCCGAAAGCUAUUUAGGUAGCGCCUCGUGAAUUCAUCUCCGGGGGUAGAGCACUGUUUCGGCUAGGGGGCCAUCCCGGCUUACCAACCCGAUGCAAACUGCGAAUACCGGAGAAUGUUAUCACGGGAGACACACGGCGGGUGCUAACGUCCGUCGUGAAGAGGGAAACAACCCAGACCGCCAGCUAAGGUCCCAAAGUCAUGGUUAAGUGGGAAACGAUGUGGGAAGGCCCAGACAGCCAGGAUGUUGGCUUAGAAGCAGCCAUCAUUUAAAGAAAGCGUAAUAGCUCACUGGUCGAGUCGGCCUGCGCGGAAGAUGUAACGGGGCUAAACCAUGCACCGAAGCUGCGGCAGCGACACUGUGUGUUGUUGGGUAGGGGAGCGUUCUGU
rnacentral:rRNA from 4 species